CCCUCUCACUGUUGUUUAUGAGCUUACAGAAAACCUGGCCUACAUUUUACUCAUUCUGAUUUCUUCCCCACUGAGAAACUACCACAGUGCCUGUCAUGUGACAACGGCAUGGCUGUGCCCCAGGCUUUCCCACUGGGGCCCCUCCUUGAGCCUGCGGGUGCUGUGAUAGAGUCCCAGCCCUGCCCUCGGAGCUUGGCUGAGGACUUCCUGGAGGAAGAGCUUCGACUCAAUGCUGAGCUGAGCCAGCUGCAAUUUUUGGAGCCUGUAGGCAUCAUCUACAACCCUGUGGAGUAUGCAUGGGAGCUGCAUCGCAACUACGUGAUUCGCUUCUGCCAGGCCCCCAAGGAAGUGCUUUUCCUGGGUAUGAACCCGGGGCCUUUUGGCAUGGCCCAGACUGGG